AAACCCAGUGGCUCUGGGACAUCUUAGGCGUUGAAAUCUGCAUUCCUGUGAAACCACUAGUGGGGCCAUCCUAGAGGCACUGACAUGUGCCUGGGUGGCGGAUGGCAAUCAUUUGGGAAGGUGAGGGCAGAGGGGAAGGAGAGCAGCCUGCCCACAGUAGUAGGUCAGGGUGGGGGUUCCCAGCUUCAGCACUGUUGACAUUUGGGGCCAGAUAGUUCCUAUGGGGGGCUGUCCUGUGUAUCAUAGGGUGUUUAGCAGCAUCAUGGACCUCUCCCGACUAGAUGCCAGUGGCAACCCCCUGACUCAUCAGUAGGGACAGCCAGAAAUGCCUCCAGUGUUGCUGAAGGCCCCCUAGUGGUUCUCAUUCCAUUGAGAGCUGUGGUCUGGAGCCAGAGGCCAGCUUGGACAGGGCCAUGGGGGGACCUAGUGGGUGGCAAUAGUGAGGAUUGCUUUCUGGCACAUCCCAUUCUCUCACCAGCACCCCCAAGAGCCCACAGGGCAGCUGCUGGCCUCAGAGUGCACUGCGUGGUCAGUGUCCAGGUCCAGUCCUGGGGGUGACCACAGCGUCUGACCUGUGUUCCCUGCAGGUCCCAGUGUCCAGCCACCGCAACCCCCUGCUGGACCUGGCUGCUUACGACCAGGAGGGCCGCCGGUUCGACAACUUCAGCUCUCUGAGCAUCCAGUGGGAGUCCACCAGGCCACUGUUGGCCAGCAUCGAGCCUGAGCUGCCCAUGCAGCUGGUGUCCCAGGACGAUGAGAGUGGCCAAAAGAAGCUGCAUGGUUUGCAGGCCAUUUUGGUUCACGAGGCAUCAGGAACCACAGCCAUCACUGCCACUGCCACUGGCUACCAGGAGUCCCACCUCAGCUCUGCCAGAACAAAGCAGCCGCAUGACCCUCUGGUGCCUCUGUCAGCCUCCAUAGAGCUCAUCCUGGUGGAGGACGUGAGGGUGAGCCCAGAAGAGGUGACCAUCUACAACCACCCUGGCAUCCAGGCGGAGCUCCGCAUCAGGGAAGGCUCAGGUUACUUCUUCCUCAACACCAGCACCGCAGAUGUUGUCAAGGUGGCCUACCAGGAGGCCAGGGGUGUCGCCAUGGUAAGCUUGGGCCAUCGGUCCCCACUGUUGGUUUUCAUUCCUUAUCUGGGCUGUUGUGUGGUUAACUGAUUGAUUAUUUUGAAAGCUAGUACUUGGCUUACACUCAGAAUCCUAGAACUUUGGGAGGGCGAGGCAGGAAGAUCACUUGAGCCCAGGAGUUCAAGACCAGCCUGGACAAUAUAGUGAGACCCCCCAUCUCCACAAAAAAAAAAAAGAAAAA
rnacentral:sRNA from 1 species